rnacentral:tRNA from 1 species
GUCCCCGUAGCGCAGUGGAUAGCGCGCUGGACUUCUAAUCCAGAGGUCGCGGGUUCGAUUCCGCCGGGGAUG